rnacentral:lncRNA from 1 species
UCUUAGGAAUACUGAUCUUCUCAGAGUCUCUUCAAAUGGAACAUUCUGGUGAUUAGUAUGGUGAAUGAGGAGUGGACCAUAGGAAUGCCGAUGCAAUGUGACCAUUUUACAGCUAAGACAAAGAAAACUCCACAUGCUGAUGAUAGUAUAAGGAAAUCAGCUGGGGAGAUGAGGUUAGCCCUGCCCAGGCUUCUCAGUUGUUGGGAAUUUAAUGUCAACCCCACAGUGUUCUCUUAUGUGAAGGCAGCCUCCCCAAAGUCAAAACACUGCUCUUGACUGGGGUGGAAGAAGGAUCAGUCUGGAUGCUCUGAGGCAGUGAGCCAACCUAGGUUGUUCUGGUCAUCGUGGAGAAGGUAUUUUUUUUAUUGAGCAUUAAACAGUAUUUAUGCAAGGUGGCACAAGAUUAUAAUCCUAACCCUCUGCGAGGCUGAAGCAGGAGGACUGGAAGUUGGAGCCCAGCCUUGGUCAUUUAGAGACUCAGCAAGACCCUGUUUCAAAAAAAAAAAGCAAAAGGUAAGACUUGAUUGGUAGAUGAAUGGAUAAGUGAAAGUGAUGUAUAACUCUGACAUACACCAUGACCUUGAGGACAUUGUGCUAAGUUAAAAGAAGCCAGUGACAGAAGGAUAAAUACCGCAUGAUCCCACUUCAGUGAGAUACUUGGGACAGUCACCUUCAUAUUAAAGGGAAACAGGAUGGCACUUGCCAGGGGCUGGCGUGGUGGGGCGGGG